GUGCCAGCAGCCGCGGUAAUACGUAGGUGGCAAGCGUUAUCCGGAAUUAGUGGGCGUAAAGCGCGCGUAGGCGGUUUUUUAAGUCUGAUGUGAAAGCCCACGGCUCAACCGUGGAGGGUCAUUGGAAACUGGAAAACUUGAGUGCAGAAGAGGAAAGUGGAAUUCCAUGUGUAGCGGUGAAAUGCGCAGAGAUAUGGAGGAACACCAGUGGCGAAGGCGACUUUCUGGUCUGUAACUGACGCUGAUGUGCGAAAGCGUGGGGAUCAAACAGGAUUAG
rnacentral:rRNA from 1 species